ACCCAUGUGACACAGUGGUCUGAAUGCUGGACUAUGACUCUGGAGACCGAGGUUCAAUUCCCUGAUUGGCCA